UACGUGGGGUGCGAGCGUUGUCCGGAUUUAUUGGGCGUAAAGGGCUCGUAGGUGGUUGAUCGCGUCGGAAGUGUAAUCUUGGGGCUUAACCCUGAGCGUGCUUUCGAUACGGGUUGACUUGAGGAAGGUAGGGGAGAAUGGAAUUCCUGGUGGAGCGGUGGAAUGCGCAGAUAUCAGGAGGAACACCAGUGGCGAAGGCGGUUCUCUGGGCCUUUCCUGACGCUGAGGAGCGAAAGCGUGGGGAGCGAACAGGA
rnacentral:misc_RNA from 1 species